rnacentral:lncRNA from 1 species
GUUCCUGGUGGGGUGAUCCUUAAUCAGCAUAAAUAUAUUUCUGACCUGCUGCAUCAGUUUGACUGUGUUAAUGUUUCUGCUGUUGUUAGUCCUUUGGAUAUUAAUGUCAAACUUCAUGCUGAUUCUGGUGAUCCUUUUUCCUCCCCUGAUCAAUAUAGAAGUAUUGUUGGUAAACUCCUAUUUUUGACUCACACUAGGCCUGGCAUCUGUUUUGCUGUUCAGCAUGUGAGUCAUUUCUGAAAUGUCCCAGAGUCCCUCAUAUGAAUGCUGCCCCCCAUGUCCUCAGAUAUCUCAAGGGCACCUUAUCUUUGGGUCUGUUCUACUAUUCCACUUCUUAUUUCUCUGUUACUGCUUAUUCUGACAGUGAUUGGGCUGCCUGCCCUGAUACUUGGAGGUCUGUUACUGGUUUUUGUGUUCUCUUAGGUGGUUGUCUGAUUAGUUGGAAGUCCAAGAAGCAGCCUAUUGUCUCCUUAUCUUCUGCUAAGGCAGAAUAUAGGGCACUCAGUAAAGUGGUCGCUGAGUUGACUUGGCUCUCUCGUUUACUAACUGAUCUUGGUGUAUCUGUUGCUCUUCCUUUCUCUGUUUUUUGUGACAGUCAGGCUGCCAUUCAUAUAGCCAAGAAUCCUGUUUUUCAUGAACGGACUAAGCACAUUGAGGUGGAUUGUCAUUUUAUUCGGGAUCAACUGAAUGGUGGUUUCAUCACUGUUUCUCAUGUGCCUACUUCUCGACAGCUUGCUGACCUCCUCACCAAGCCUUAUUGUCAUUUUAUUCGGGAUCAGCUGAAUGGUGGUUUCAUUACUGUUUCUCAUAUGCCUACUUCCCGACAGCUUGCUGACCUCCUCACCAAGCCUCUGCCCGGGACUGUCCUCCAUCCUUUGCUGCUCAAGUUGAAGGUGGUCUCCCCCUCCAACUUGAGGGGGGGUGUCGAGCUACAAGAUUAUUUGGCCUCU